CUUACCUACGGGAGGCAGCAGUGGGGGAUAUUGCACAAUGGGGGGAACCCUGAUGCAGCGACGCCGCGUGGGUGAAGAAGCGCCUCGGCGCGUAAAGCCCUGUCAGCAGGGAAGAAAAUGACGGUACCUGAAGAAGAAGCCCCGGCUAACUACGUGCCAGCAGCCGCGGUAAUACGUAGGGGGCAAGCGUUGUCCGGAAUGACUGGGCGUAAAGGGAGUGUAGGCGGCUUAUCAAGUUAGAUGUGAAAUCCCGCGGCUUAACCGCGGAACUGCAUCUAAAACUGGUGAGCUGGAGUGCAGGAGAG
rnacentral:rRNA from 1 species